UACGUAGGUGGCAAGCGUUGUCCGGAAUGAUUGGGCGUAAAGCGCGCGCAGGCGGUUCUUUAAGUCUGGUGGGAAAGCCCACGGCUCAACCGUGGAGGGUCAUUGGAAACUGGGGGACUUGAGUGCAGAAGAGGAAAGCGGAAUUCCACGUGUAGCGGUGAAAUGCGUAGAGAUGUGGAGGAACACCAGUGGCGAAGGCGGCUUUCUGGUCUGUAACUGACGCUGAGGCGCGAAAGCGUGGGGAGCAAACAGG
rnacentral:rRNA from 1 species